AGGAUCUUCCAACCCAGAGCAGCUGAUAGAGAACCUGGGAGCCAUACAGGUCCUUCCGAAGAUGACAUCCCAUAUUGUAAACGAAAUAGAUAAUAUUCUGGGAAAUAAGCCCUACAGCAAGAAGGACUACAGAUCAUAAUGCAAUGCAUGAAUUACCUGGACUGCAUGGUUUAAAAAGUGCUCUGUACAGAAGUACAGCCCCGAGUUAAUAUCCGGUCAUGAGAAUCAUUCAGCAGCUUGCUGCUCGGUGUCUACUGUCACGGGAUCCUUCGAGAUGUGUGCUGUCGCUACUAAUCUGCAGUGAAAUUCAAAAGCACAGUUGAUCUCUCUUCUAACCAAGAAUAAUCUUGUAUUUUCUUACCUUCGACUGAAUUCAUUAAUUUUUACUUUACUCUUAGCACCUCAUGCUUGUGCUGUGAAAAACACUUGUAAAGCAAAAAAUAAUUUAUAACCUUCAGGUACUUGGUAAUUAAAGAAGGAUGUACAGAUCUAUUUUUUCAAUGAAGAAAAGCCAGAUACAACUUAAGGUUUUAAUAAAACCACAUUUGGGAAAUC